CUUGGUCAUUUAGAGGAAGUAAAAGUCGUAACAAGGUCUCCGUAGGUGAACCUGCGGAGGGAUCAUUACACAAAUAUGAAGGCGGGCUGGAACCUCUCGGGGUUACAGCCUUGCUGAAUUAUUCACCCUUGUCUUUUGCGUACUUCUUGUUUCCUUGGUGGGUUCGCCCCACUAGGACAAACAUAAACCUUUUGUAAUUGCAAUCAGCGUCAGUAACAAAUUAAUAAUUACAACUUUCAACAACGGAUCUCUUGGUUCUGGCAUCGAUGAAGAACGCAGCGAAAUGCGAUAAGUAGUGUGAAUUGCAGAAUUCAGUGAAUCAUCGAAUCUUUGAACGCACAUUGCGCCCCUUGGUAUUCCAUGGGGCAUGCCUGUUCGAGCGUCAUUUGUACCUUCAAGCUCUGCUUGGUGUUGGGUGUUUGUCUCCUGUAGACUCGCCUUAAAACAAUUGGCAGCCGGCGUAUUGAUUUCGGAGCGCAGUACAUCUCGCGCUUUGCACUCAUAACGACGACAUCCAAAAGUACAUUUUUACACUCUUGACCUCGGAUCAGGUAGGGAUACCCGCUGAACUUAAGCAUAUCAAUAAGCGGAGAA
rnacentral:rRNA from 1 species